ensembl:lncRNA
AGAAUUCAGUGUCUUGGAAGUGGGGGGAGGGGCGGGGGGAACAGAUAGAGAAAAACAAGCAAAGAGACAUAGGUAGACAGACAUGCACACAGAGACGGAUCCAGAGAAAGAACGAAAAGCAGAAAGAGAGAGAGGCGGAGGGAGAUAGGAAGAGACACGCGGGGAGGGAGGCAGAGCCAGGAGGCGGACGAGGUUGGGUGAGGACAGGGCAAGCUAAGACCCAGCUUUGUGAGGCUGAGUCAGGAGCAAGGGCAGUCUGGCUGCAUCUUCUCAGGAGAGGGACGAUAGCCCUCGGCCCAGGAGCGUCCGUACAUGGCGCUUCCCUCAGAAACUCUACUCGGGGCGGACAGCCAGUGCAAGAGGCUCCUGCUCCCAGCUGUCCUGCUUGCCUCCAUGGCAGCUGCUGAACUGUUGCUCUUCCCUGAAGACCUGAACAGGCUACCUGGAAGUUCAAUUAGAUGGCGGAUUUCCGGAGGCCCCUCUGGUUAUGUCAACUAUACAUGGUACCGGGCAAACGCAUCCAUUGAAGCAAAUAUGCUUGUUUCAUACAUCUCCUCCCCUCCUAGCUGGAUUCCUGGCCCUGCAAAUGCUGGCUGGGAGAAUGUGACUCAAAAAGGCUACCUGACCAUCACAGAAUUAGAGUUUGGUGAUGCUGGGAACUACUCGAUAGUGGUGACUGGCAUUGAGGGAUCCCAGGAGGACACUGGACAGAUCCAGGUCUGGGGAGAUGAGGCAGCAGAGAACUUAGGCUUUUCAAAGGAGAAAUUGAAAGAGUGAAGACCUCAAAGACAAAUGACCCAAGAAAGAAUCUUACCUAAGACACUUACUGUGUGGCCAGCCAUAGGGUUAUUAUGAGCUUAAAGAACUUUGUAAAUGUAACUGGUUAUUAUAUUAUUCUACCCCAAAGCCACACACACGGAGGGGUUCUCUCAUAGAUAGAGAGGUGGGUUGGAAUGUGGAGAGAGCUAAUGGGUCCCUGGAGCACUCUGGAGGGUGGUUGGCAGGACGGGUUUAAGUAUGGGAGGGGCUCACCGGGGGAAGCAGGAGAAUGCGGGUACCACUCAGGAAGGAGUGGGUCAAGGGCAAAGUCCCUGCCACACAGACAGACCACAUGAUCCUGGGCAUGGCAAGCCAAGUCACCGAGAGCAAAGCCAGUGAUAGGGCCAGGCUUGUCCUGGGGCCAGGAUUGGGCAAAAGCAACAUCUGCCUCUGGUUGAGAAAACAAACAAUCCGGCUCAGGAAGAGGAGGUGAGAAUUGGUGAACAAGGUGGAAGUCCCCUGAAGGGGCAGAGUCAUGGAGCUGUCCAGAGCCUCUCCGCAUGGCUGGGGCAGCCCCUGGAAGAGGUUCCUGCUCACAGGUAUCCUGCUCAGCUUCUGGGGGCCACCCAGAAUCUGCUCAGAUCUUCACCGCCACUGUCCCAAACCGCCCCAUGGAAGGAGAUGACGUGAUUCUGACCGCCCCGAACGCCCCAGACAGGAUCCUCAAUGCCAGCUGGCACUCAGGGUUCCAGCCCUCGGAUCCUGACACGAUCACCAGCUGCAUCCCCACUGCCCAGGCAGGCCCCUGCACCCAGCGCCUAGGUCCUGCCCACACCAGGAGGGAGGCUCUGACAAGCUGGAACACAUUGGGAAUCAGAAACCUCACUCCCUCCGACACUGGCUUUUACUCCCUGGUGCUGAACACUGACUCAGGCCUGGAGAAGGCAUCCCCCUACAUCCAUGUCUGGCGCCCACGGGAGUUUCUUCUAAUACCAGACAUCUCGGCCAACAUGAAUGUUGCUGUGGAGAACGUGGACUGA